AUGGCCUGGACCCCUCUCUUGCUCCCUCUCCUCACUCUCUGCACAGGUUCUGUGGCCUCUUCUCAGCUGACUCAGCCACCUGCGGUAUCCGUGUCCUUAGGACAGACGGCCAGCAUCACCUGCCAGGGAGACAACGUAGGAAGCUAUUAUGCUAGCUGGUACCAGCAGAAGCCAGGCCAGGCCCCUGUGCUGGUCAUUUAUGGGUAUAGCAACCGGCCCUCAGGGAUCCCUGACCGAUUCUCUGGCUCCAGUUCAGGCAACACAGCCACCCUGACCAUCAGCGGGGCCCAGGCCGAGGACGAGGCUGACUAUUACUGUGCAUCAGCUGACAGCAGUGAUUAUCCUCACAGUGACACAGGCAGACGGGGAAGUCUCUGUUCUCUGCCUGUGCUGACAGAGACCCCGUCUGCAUCUUCUUCCCUGGGAGGCUCGGCCAAGCUCACCUGCACCCUGAGCAGUGAGCACAGCACGUACUACAUUGAGUGUUAUCAAUAG